GAUGAACGCUGGCGGCGUGCUUAACACAUGCAAGUCGAACGAAGCACUUUAUUUGAUUUCCUUCGGGACUGAUUAUUUUGUGACUGAGUGGCGGACGGGUGAGUAACGCGUGGGUAACCUGCCUUGUACAGGGGGCUAACAGUUGGAAACGGCUGCUAAUACCGCAUAAGCGCACAGCAUCGCAUGAUGCAGUGUGAAAAACUCCGGUGGUAUAAGAUGGACCCGCGUUGGAUUAGCUAGUUGGUGAGGUAACGGCCCACCAAGGCGACGAUCCAUAGCCGACCUGAGAGGGUGACCGGCCACAUUGGGACUGAGACACGGCCCAAACUCCUACGGGAGGCAGCAGUGGGGAAUAUUGCACAAUGGGCGAAAGCAUGAUGCAGCGACGCCGCGUGAGCGAAGAAGUAUUUCGGUAUGUAAAGCUCUAUCAGCAGGGAAGAUAAUGACGGUACCUGACUAAGAAGCACCGGCUAAAUACGUG
rnacentral:rRNA from 1 species